AUGCUGGAGGUAUCAGAAGUGCGAAUGCUGACGUGAGUAACGACAAAACGGGUGAAAAACCCGUUCGCCGAAAGACCAAGGGUUCCAGUCCAACGUUAAUCGGGGCUGGGGGAGUCGACCCCUAAGGCGAGGCCGAAAGGCGUAGUCGAUGGGAAAAUGGUUAAUAUUCCAUUACUUCUGUGUAAUGCGAUGAGAGGACGGAGAAGGCUAAAUCAGCCUGGCGUUGGUUGUCCAGGUGAAAGGAUGUAGGCAUGUAUCUUAGGCAAAUCCGGGGUACUCUAUGCUGAGAUCUGAUAGCAAGCUGUACUUGUACAGCGAAGUGGUUGAUGCCAUGCUUCCAGGAAAAGUCUCUAAGCUUCAGUUACACAGGAAUCGUACCCGAAACCGACACAGGUGGUCAGGUCGAGUAGACCAAGGCGCUUGAGAGAACUCUGCUGAAGGAACUAGGCAAAAUGGUACCGUAACUUCGGGAGAAGGUACGCUGUUGUUGGUGAUGGAACUCGCUUCCUGAGCUGACGACAGCCGCAGAAACCAGGCCGCUGCAACUGUUUAUUAAAAACAUAGCACUCUGCAAACACGAAAGUGGACGUAUAGGGUGUGAUGCCUGCCCGGUGCUGGAAGGUUAAUUGAUGGGGUUAGCGUAAGCGAAGCUCUUGAUCGAAGCCCCAGUAAACGGCGGCCGUAACUAUAACGGUCCUAAGGUAGCGAAAUUCCUUGUCGGGUAAGUUCCGACCUGCACGAAUGGCAUAAUGAUGGCGGCGCUGUCUCCAGCAGAGGCUCAGUGAAAUCGAAAUCGCUGUGAAGAUGCAGUGUACCCGCGGCUAGACGGAAAGACCCCGUGAACCUUUACUGCAGCUUGACACUGAACUUUGACCUUACUUGUGUAGGAUAGGUGGGAGGCUUUGAAGCUGGAACGCUAGUUCCAGUGGAGCCGUCCUUGAAAUACCACCCUGGUAAUGUUGAGGUUCUAACUCUGUCCCGUGAUCCGGGACGAGGACCGUGUCUGGUGGGUAGUUUGACUGGGGCGGUCUCCUCCUAAAGAGUAACGGAGGAGUACGAAGGUGCGCUCAGCGUGGUCGGAAAUCACGCGUAGAGUAUAAAGGCAAAAGCGCGCUUAACUGCGAGACCCACAAGUCGAGCAGGUACGAAAGUAGGUCUUAGUGAUCCGGUGGUUCUGUAUGGAAGGGCCAUCGCUCAACGGAUAAAAGGUACUCUGGGGAUAACAGGCUGAUACCGCCCAAGAGUUCAUAUCGACGGCGGUGUUUGGCACCUCGAUGUCGGCUCAUCUCAUCCUGGGGCUGAAGCAGGUCCCAAGGGUAUGGCUGUUCGCCAUUUAAAGAGGUACGCGAGCUGGGUUUAGAACGUCGUGAGACAGUUCGGUCCCUAUCUACCGUGGGCGCUGGAAAUUUGAGAGGAUCUGCUCCUAGUACGAGAGGACCAGAGUGGACGAACCUCUGGUGUACCGGUUGUGACGCCAGUCGCAUCGCCGGGUAGCUAUGUUCGGAAGGGAUAACCGCUGAAAGCAUCUAAGCGGGAAGCCUACCUCAAGAUAAGAUUUCCCUAGGACUUUAUGUCCUCUAAAGAGCCGUUCGAGACUAGGACGUUGAUAGGUUGGAUGUGGAAGCAUAGUGAUAUGUGAAGCUGACCAAUACUAAUUGCUCGUGAGGCUUGACUAUACAACACCCAAGCAGUUG
rnacentral:rRNA from 1 species